rnacentral:rRNA from 1 species
GACGAACGCUGGCGGCGUGCUUAACACAUGCAAGUCGAACGAAGAGCGACGGAAGCUUGCUUCUAUCAAUCUUAGUGGCGAACGGGUGAGUAACGCGUAAUCAACCUGCCCUUCAGAGGGGGACAACAGUUGGAAACGACUGCUAAUACCGCAUACGAUCUAACCUCGGCAUCGAGGAUAGAUGAAAGGUGGCCUCUACAUGUAAGCUAUCACUGAAGGAGGGGACUGCGUCUGAUUAGCUAGUUGGAGGGGUAACGGCCCACCAAGGCGAUGAUCAGUAGCCGGUCUGAGGGGAUGAACGGCCACAUUGGGACUGAGACACGGCCCAGACUCCUACGGGAGGCAGCAGUGGGGAAUCUUCCGCAAUGGACGAAAGUCUGACGGAGCAACGCCGCGUGAGUGAUGACGGCCUUCGGGUUGCAAAGCUCUGUUAAUCGGGACGAAAGGCCUUCUUGCGAAUAGUGAGAAGGAUUGACGGUACCGGAAUAGAAAGCCACGGCUAACUACGUG